rnacentral:rRNA from 1 species
GACGUAGGAGGCGAGCGUUGUCCGGAUUUACUGGGCGUAAAGCGUGUUCAGGCGGUCUAGCAAGUCGGGCAUGAAAUCUCUCGGCUCAACCGGGAGGGGUUGUCCGAUACUGCUGGGCUUGAGGGCAGCAGAGGGUGGUGGAAUUCCGGGUGUAGUGGUGAAAUGCGUAGAUAUCUGGAGGAACACCGGUGGCGAAGGCGACAUCCUGGACCGGUAUUGACGCUGAGGCGCGAAAGCCAGGGGAGCAAACGGG